AUGCUUGCUUCAGCAGCACAUAUACUAAAAUCAGAAUGAUACAGAGAAAAUUAGCAUGGCCCCUGCACAAAUUUGUGAAGUGUUCCAUAUUUUU
ensembl:snRNA Gm22543 predicted gene, 22543